CCUACGGGAGGCAGCAGUGGGGAAUAUUGCGCAAUGAGCGAAAGAGUGACGCAGCGACGCCGCGUGAAUGACGAAGGCCUUCGGGACGUAAAGUUCUAUCGACAGGGAAGAAAAUGCCUAUAAGUAACUGUGUAUGUAUUGACGGUACCUGUAUAAGCAGCCCCGGCUAACUCCGUGCCAGCAGCCGCGGUAGUACGGAGGGGGGGAGCGUGGUUCGGAUUGACUGGGCGUAAAGAGCACGUAGGCGGUGUUGUAAGUCAUUAGUCAAAGACUAGAGCUCAACUUUAGUAAGGCUAGUGAUACUAUAAUACUGGAGUAUCAGAGAGGAUUGCGGAAUUCCUGGUGUAGCGGUGAAAUGCGUAGAUAUCAGGAGGAAUACCGUUUGCGAAGGCGGCAAUCUGGCUGGAAACUGACGCUGAGGUGCGAAAGCGUGGGUAGCAAACAGGAUUAGAUACCCCUGUAGUC
rnacentral:rRNA from 1 species